AUUGAACGCUGGCGGCAGGCCUAACACAUGCAAGUCGAGCGAGCGGCGGACGGGUGAGUAAUGUAUGGGGACUGCCCGAUAGAGGGGGAUAACUACUGGAAACGGUGGCUAAUACCGCAUACUAUCGGAUAACCCAUAUGGGAUUCGCUAGUAGGUGGGGUACAGGCUCCCCUAGGCGACGAUCGCUAGCUGGUCUGAGAGGAUGAUCAGCCACACUGUGACUGAGACACGGCCCAGACUCCUACGGAGGCAGCAGGGGGGAAUAUUGCACAAUUGGCGCAAGCCUGAUGCAGCCAUGCCGCGUGUAUGAAGAAGGCCUUAGGGUUGUAAAGUACUUUCAGCGGGGAGGCGUUACCCGCAGGAGAAGCACCGGCUAGCUCCGUGCCAGCAGCCGCGGUGAUUC
rnacentral:rRNA from 1 species